rnacentral:rRNA from 1 species
CAUAGCGACUAUCGUGGCAUAUCAAUAAGCGGAGGAAAAGAAACUAACAAGGAUUCCCUUAGUAACGGCGAGUGAAGCGGGAAGAGCUCAAAUUUGAAAUCUUCAAGGUUUUACCUUGGCGAAUUGUAGUUUAAAGAAGUGUUUUCUGUUGGAGUUUUGGUAAAAGUUCUUUGGAAUAGGACAUCAUAGAGGGUGAGAAUCCCGUAUUUGACCAUUAUUUCCAGCUGUGUGAUACACUUUCAAAGAGUCGGAUUGUUUGGGAAUGCAGUCCAAAAUGGGUGGUAAAUUUCAUCUAAAGCUAAAUAUUGGCGAGAGACCGAUAGCGAACAAGUACCGCGAGGGAAAGAUGAAAAGAACUUUGAAAAGAGAGUUAAACAGUACGUGAAAUUGUCAAAAGGGAAGCGUUUGACACUAGUGUUGUUUUCUCGAAAAUCAAUUAAAAAUGAUGGGAUUUUGUGUUGUAUUGACUUUAUCAGCUUUCUGCACUUUUUUCUUAUCUUUUUUAAUGCACUUUUCGUUUAACAAGUCAACAUCAAUUUCUUUUGUUGUAAAAGAGUCAUUGGAAGGUGGCUUUUUCUUCGGAAAAAGUGUUUAUAGCUUUGGCUUCUGCAAUCGGAGAGAUUGAGGUCUGCAGCGUAGAUCCUUCGGGGUUAGAUACAUUUGUGCUAAGCUAUAGUUCUUUAUAGACAACUUGUUGACUAUAAUCAAUCCUGUAACUUACUCGCUUAUGCUAUUUUACCUACGCUUAGGAUGUUGAUAUGCAUGACUGAUAU